UGUCCAACUCCGCUCCCGGUGUCCCCUCUCGGUCUGCUACCCGCCUCUGCAGCGCGACCCCUCGGGUUCUGGGAGCGCUGGCCGGCUCGCCAGCCUCACAUCCUUGCCGUCCGAGAGGAAGACCUCGGCGCCAAGACCGGGGUUACCCCUCAGGAAAAAACUUGAUUUCUGACGCUCCACCCCCAGGAUGAAUUGCAACUCACUGAAUAAAUGUCUCCAUCGAAACUUGAGGAGGUGGUAGAAGACAAUGCAACUUUAAUCAUCUGACCAGCUCGACCUUUGGCUAGUAACUCAUUUCUGGGCCUUUGAAACAACCUGCUUGCCUCUAUGGUCUUCUCAAAAAACACACACAAAAACAAAAAAACCUUCUGGCUGGAAUGUGUGAUAUACGCCCAGAUGACCCUACGUCAAACUUCCAAAUUCGUCCUAGAGGAGGACAGUGCGAUCUCCACUCCAUAGGCCCAGUCCACCAGGGGAUUGUGGAUGUCUCUGGCUUCUGUGCCAGAUUUCAGAACCACAUAGCCCUCCUGGAGAGUCCUGGCCUUCUACCUUUGCUAACGUUUAACCUUUUUUAAAACUCUAAUUCAGUUUUCUCAGAGUCACUGGUGUUGAGUUUCAAUUUAACUAACUGCUGAGUACCUUUUGGUGCCAGUCCCUGACCUAGUCCCUUGCAGACCCAAUUCCUGUCUCCAAGAAGCUCCCAGUCCAAUGAAGGAUGUGAAGUCCACUCAACUCUGGGUUUGUAGGUUCUAUGAAAGCACCCGGUGUCCCCAGUGCCUGGUACCAAUAGGCACUGCUUAAUUGUUGAACUAAUAAAUGAGACAUGCAUGGGAAUAAGAAUACAGAGUUGGGCCCUGAGAAAGACCCAAAACUGGAAGAAAAGGUUCAUUACGACUAGGAGAAUCAGGGAAGGCUCCACAGAGGUGGUAACGUAUGAAGGAUGAAGAGGAUUUCUUCAUGCAGGUAAGAAUUAAAGGGCUUUAGGGGUAUAAAUGACAGCAAAAUUAUAGAACAUGAAAAUGCAUGUACAUGUGCAGAUUAGGAUGGAGUUUAACUAUUGUAACAAUGAAAGAAGAUGAUUUCCUGA